rnacentral:lncRNA from 1 species
GGAGGGGCGAAGCUUGGAGGGCAUAUUCAUAGACGAACCGGGUCACAGACGGAGCACCAACACCAGCUGACCGUGGUCUGUCACUGCCGCACCGACACCGUCCGUGGAUUGUGGACCGUGGACCAGUGGACCGUGGACCCCCACCACCGUGUGGACAGACCGACAACUGUUACCAUGACGGCGGAGGAGACGAUCAAUGUGAAGGAGGUGGAGAUCAUUAAGGUGGUGCUGGACUUCCUCCACUCCAGGAAGCUGCACAUCAGCAUGCUGGCUCUGGAGAAGGAGAGCGGCGUCAUCAACGGCCUCUACUCUGACGACAUGCUCUUCCUCAGGUGAGUGAGUUGCUCAGCGGCGCUCAGCGAGAGUUGCAGGUUCUCUUCCUCCUUCUCCUCACACGUGCUGUUGGUUGUGAUCACAGGCAGCUGAUUCUGGACGGGCAGUGGGACGAGGUCCUACAGUUCAUUCAGCCUCUGGAGUGCAUGGAAAAGUUUGACAGGAAGAGGUGACACACACUGUCACACUGUUGGUGUUUUAUGUGAAGAAACCAUGACUCAGCGUUUAUCCUCAGGUUUCGUUACAUCGUCCUCAAGCAGAAGUUUCUGGAAGCUCUGUGUGUGAACAACGCCAUGUCUGCAGAAGAUGAGCCGCAGCACCUGGAGUUUCACCAUGCAGGAGGCGGUGAAGUGUCUCCAUGCCCUGGAGGAGUUUUUGUGCGUCUAAAGAGGAACUACAGUAAACUGUGUCUGCUGCUGACGCUGCCUCGCCUCACUAACCACGCUGAGUUUAGGCACGCCCCCCCCCCCCCCCCCCCCCCCCCCCCCCAAUCACUGCUCCUCUGUGUGUGUGGAAACAUCUGGAAACAUCUUCUUUCUCUACGCCAACAUCUUCACAGGACUGGAACCCCAGCACGGCGCGUGUGCAGUGCUUUGAGGAGGCGUGUGUGAUGGUGGCUGAGUUCAUCCCUGCAGACAGGAAGCCUGAGUGAGGCGGGUUUUAAGGCCAGUGGAGGACCGACUGUUCCAGCUGCUGCUCAAAGGAGUUCUGUAUGAGUGCUGUGUAGAGUUCUGUCAGGUGAGUCACACACACACACACAUUCACAGAUAUUUUUCAGAUUUUCACGUUUUUCAGAGUUUUACAUGUAUUUUUUACAUUUCACGUAUUUU